rnacentral:rRNA from 1 species
AUUGAACGCUGGCGGCAGGCCUAACACAUGCAAGUCGAACGAGUGGCGGACGGGUGAGUAAUGUCUGGGAAACUGCCUGAUGGAGGGGGAUAACUACUGGAAACGGUAGCUAAUACCGCAUACCAUCAGAAGUGCCUAUAUGGGAUUAGCUUGUUGGUGGGGUAACGGGUCACCAAGGCGACGAUCCCGAGCUGGUCUGAGAGGAUGACCAGACACACGGGGACUGAGACACGGUCCAGACGCCGACGGGAGGCAGCAGUGGGGAAUAUUGGACAAUGGGCGCAAGCCUGAUGCAGCCAUGCCGCGUGUAUGAAGAAGGCCUUCGGGUUGUAAAGUACUUUCAGCAGGGAGGCGUUACCCGCAGAAGAAGCACCGGCUAACUCCGUGCCAGCAGCCGCGGUAAUAC